rnacentral:lncRNA from 10 species
UAUCAGUUUAUUUGCUGUAAUAUUAGAAAAGUAGUUUUAUCAAUAAAUAUUGUUGAAUGAAUAGUUCCUUCUAGGCAAAACAAAUGUGUAGAAGAAAAACUUAAAAAAAAAAUUAUUGCAACUGAGUAAAUUCCAAGUAACAUAAAAGAAGCAGACAAAAGUAGAAAGCUUUAGUCCAAAGAAUCAGAAAAAAGUAUUUAGUAAUGUAUAUAACUUGUAGUGUUUGGAGAUAACUAUAUACCUUUAAAACCAUCAUCACUAUCAAUGCCAUAAACUUACUUACGCAUCACCUCCUAAUAUUUCCUCUCAUUCCCUUUGUUUGUUUCUUUUUGUGGUUAGAGCACUUAAUCUUAAGAUCUACCCUCGUGGCAAAUUUUUAAGUACGUGAAGUUUCACUUAUGCAAAGAUUUCUCUUUAAAUGUCAACUCAGACUAAAGGAACCUAGAAUAGUAGGCAAAGCAUUACUUGAAAAUGAAACCCUUUCUACUGUAAGCAGGCAAUCAAGACUUGCAUCAUAAUGGAGGAAAUAAGAUGCUUGGCUAUAACUUUGGCUUUUAUCAAAUUAAAGGAGGGAGAGCAGAGGGAAUAUUUGCUUCCCUUGUGCAUCUUAUCUGAAAGUGGUGUCUUUACGAAUUUGUAAAAUCAUACAAAUUUUACAAAUUGAAAUUGUAUUUAUUAAGCCUAUGUUUAAAAAAUGGUAGAGGAAGCAGUUGGAAAUGAAGAAUAUGAGACAAGUAGAACAUUCCGGUCUAAAGUCUCCUUUUCUAGAGCAUAUUCCUCUACCAACUAGUGGCUUAGGCCUUGCCUAUCCCAAGCUAAUAUUUUCUUCUGUCCCUCAAGAGCCUGGCAGCUCGUCUGACAUUAUUGGCCCACAGUUACUCCCUUGUAUCUGGCUUCCUUUGUGACUCUCAGAGCCAGCAUCUCUUAGUGCUUUCUAGAGUGCAACCAGAUUCCCCUUUUCCCUCCUGUUUCCUUACCAGUCACUAGAAUUGACAGAUUACAAAUAAAUAAAACUUCUCAGUAUUUUGGCAUGGUUAAAAGCACAUUUUUUAUUUUCCUAGCUGUCAAUAUUCCCAAUAAAAACUAAAAAUUUCAGUCAAAGCUAAUCAUAGUUCUAAGAAUGUAAGCCUUAUAAUUGCUAAAUAUUUUUGGAUUAAAUAUAGAUUAAUAAUAAAUCUAGGUUUAGAAUUACAGUGCAUAGACUUUCAAUACUUUUACAUUGUUUUUAUUUUGAAAAAGAAAACAAUCGUCAUAAUCAUUCUAUACAUAUUUACUAUAAAAGGAGUUCUAUGUAUAUAUGUCGUAUAUUAAUAGACAACCGACUCAUUGACAUAACUUGUUUCUCUUUCCAUUAUAGAGUGAGCACUUUCUCAUGGUGUAAAAUAUUCUACCAAAACCUUAUUUCCA